rnacentral:rRNA from 1 species
AUCUCAGUUCGGAUUGCAGGCUGCAACUCGCCUGCAUGAAGCUGGAAUUGCUAGUAAUCGCGGAUCAGCAAGCCGCGGUGAAUACGUUCCCGGGCCUUGUACACACCGCCCGUCACAUCAUGAGAGUCGGGAACACCCGAAGUCCGUAGUCUAACCGCAAGGGGGGCGCGGCCGAAGGUGGGUCCGGUAAUUGGGGUGAAGUCGUAACAAGGUAUC